rnacentral:pre_miRNA from 1 species
CUUCUACUCCCUCCGUCCCAAAAUUCUUGUCUUAGAUUUGUCUAGAUAUGAAUGUAUCUAGUCACGUUUUAGUAUUUAGAUACAUCCGUUUCUAGACAAACUUAAGACAAGAAUUUUGGGACGGAGGGAGUAUUAG